GUGGCGAACGGUUGAGUAACACGUGGGUGAUCUGCCCUGCACUUUGGGAUAAGCCUGGGAAACUGGGUCUAAUACCGAAUAGGACCACGCGCUUCAUGGUGUGUGGUGGAAAGCUUUUGCGGUGUGGGAUGGGCCCUUGCGGCCUAUCAGCUUGUUGGUGUCAGCUGGGUGAUGGCCUACCAAGGGCGACGACGGGUAGCCGGCCUGAGAGGGUGACCGGCCACACUGGGACUGAGAUACGGCCCAGACUCCUACGGGAGGCAGCAGUGGGGAAUAUUGCACAAUGGGCGCAAGCCUGAUGCAGCGACGCCGCGUGAGGGAUGACGGCCUUCGGGUUGUAAACCUCUUUCAAUAGGGACGAAGCGNGAGUGACGGUACCUAUAGAAGAAGCACCGGCCAACUACGUGCCAGCAGCCGCGGUAAUACGUAGGGUGCGAGCGUUGUCCGGAAUUACUGGGCGUAAAGAGCUCGUAGGUGGUUUGUCGCGUUGUUCGUGAAAACUCACAGCUUAACUGUGGGCGUGCGGGCGAUACGGGCAGACUAGAGUACUGCAGGGGAGACUGGAAUUCCUGGUGUAGCGGUGGAAUGCGCAGAUAUCAGGAGGAACACCGGUGGCGAAGGCGGGUCUCUGGGCAGUAACUGACGCUGAGGAGCGAAAGCGUGGGGAGCGAACAGGAUUAGAUACCCUGGUAGUCCACGCNGUAAACGGUGGGUACUAGGUGUGGGUUCCUUCCUUGGGAUCCGUGCCGUAGCUAACGCAUUAAGUACCCCGCCUGGGGAGUACGGCCGCAAGGCUAAAACUCAAAGGAAUUGACGGGGGCCCGCACAAGCGGCGGAGCAUGUGGAUUAAUUCGAUGCAACGCGAAGAACCUUACCUGGGUUUGACAUGCACAGGACGCCGGCAGAGAUGUCGGUUCCCUUGUGGCCUGUGUGCAGGUGGUGCAUGGCUGUCGUCAGCUCGUGUCGUGAGAUGUUGGGUUAAGUCCCGCAACGAGCGCAACCCUUGUCCUAUGUUGCCAGCGGGUUAUGCCGGGGACUCGUAGGAGACUGCCGGGGUCAACUCGGAGGAAGGUGGGGAUGACGUCAAGUCAUCAUGCCCCUUAUGUCCAGGGCUUCACACAUGCUACAAUGGCCGGUACAAAGGGCUGCGAUGCCGUGAGGUGGAGCGAAUCCUUUCAAAGCCAGUCUCAGUUCGGAUCGGGGUCUGCAACUCGACCCCGUGAAGUCGGAGUCGCUAGUAAUCGCAGAUCAGCAACGCUGCGGUGAAUACGUUCCCGGGCCUUGUACACACCGCCCGUCACGUCAUGAAAGUCGGUAACACCCGAAGCCGGUGG
rnacentral:rRNA from 1 species